GCAUACAUAUGCAUACCUAAGAACUUUAAGUGUUUUUAUCUUACACAAAACAAUGGUCUCUUUCAUAGUGUUGUUUUCCUUCUAAUACUAUUGACUAGUCCUCCCAUCCACUAUAUAAGACCAUCUUUUCUCUUUUUCUUUCAUUUAAAGCAUUCUCCUUUAAUGGCUCAAGUUUCUACUACUGAGUCUUCAGGAGCUUUCCUGCAGGUUGCAAUGUUUUAUCUUUGAGGAAAUUGCUCAAAAAGUACCUAACUCUUACUGCCUUUAUCAGAGUUUA
rnacentral:lncRNA from 1 species